GCUUUGCUGGCCUAAGUGGUUAGAGUGUCUGCCUCGGAUGCAGGAGGUUGUGGGUUCAAUCCCCGUUCAAGUCA